UGCUGGGGCCAAAAUCCACUUCUGUGCAUUUUCCACCUUGGCUAGUAGUGACUUCAGAUGCCGCCUGCUUCCCCUGCCGUGUGUUAGACUGAAGGCCACAGACAGCACCGGCCCACAGGGCGUCUCCGGGUGAGGUCAAGACUGGGGAGAUUAAUCCCAGGGAGGCACUGGCCGUGCUCGCUGGUCCUCAUGGGUAGGUCCUAGGAGACGUGCAUCCCUUACAGAGUCCUUAGGCUCAGUUGCUAAUCGGAAAUAUUUGAAUGUAAAAGUCAGUACUUGUCAAUUAUUUCGAUGACUGUGGAGUACAAAUCACAAGCUCCAUUGGUGAGAAAUACACCCGUAUGGCUUGUCCUUCACAUCGCGGUAGCUGUGAUGAGGAGCACGGAGCUGUGGGCUGUUGUAACCCUUCCAUCGUCACUGGCCCUGGUUCCAGCUGGUUUGUAAGUAAGAUGACCUCCAGGCAGAAAGCUCUCUUCAUCCUGUUGCCCUCCUUCCAAGACCAGUCAGGGAGGCAGUGAUUCUGUAAAGGCCGGUGUGCGUACGUGUGAGUGUGUGUGCCUGAGAAUGUGUGUACUGAGAGUGUGUGUACCUGUGUGUACCUGAGAGUGUGUGCUUAGAGCUACAAAGUCGUUCUGUGCACACAUUAAAGCUAUCCCUGCAGCAUCGUCCUUGUAGCUUCUGUAACGAGUGGACCUGUGGGAAGAAGGCUUGAGACCACCUACUGGGAUGUCAGGUUUCAGAAGGUGCAGCUCUAACCCAGGCUCCACCUAGAGCCGUGGGAAUCCCCAUCCUUUCCAGCACCCCCUCCCUCCACUGUAAUUGCUGCACUUUUGUGUGAUGCAUCGGAAGUGCUGAUCCUAUAAAAUGAUUUUAUAGGGAGCAGCCCACGAAUGAUGCGGAGGUGUUUCUUUUCCUUAAAGGUCUUUAUUUUCCUCUUUCAAACCUAUUUCUCAUCGUGAUUAAAUGCAUGUAUUUCAUGCAAGCACGUAAGGAUUAAGUUUCUCUUACUGUAUGUCCUCACUCCACGUCAGACAGCUUCCUGUUGGCUAAGUCAGGUGUGAGUUGCCGAGUCUUCCGUGUGGGCAGGAGUCGGUGUGAGACUGGCUUUGUUCCUUUUCGAGAUGACACUCUUGUUGGAGGUGCUUUCUGCAGGCAGUUUGCCGCAGACUGUGUUUCACAGUUGGUUUCAAGUUGAUGGUUAGAAAUUUGUGCUGAGCAACAGGUGCAAGGUGGAUAUUUAACUUGUGUGGAGGCGCCCGCCUGCAGCCUUACCAGGGGUCUGAGAAUCAUGCUGCUCAGCCCUCGGCUUGGAAGGCGUGGCUCUCCAUGUCAUCACAGGAGUGUCCUUGAAGAUGUAGGUUAAAUCGCUGGCCUUUCUCAGUAGGUUAAGAAUCUGGUGUUGCCAUAAGUUGUGGUGUAGUUCAAAGAUGUGGCUCAGAUCUGGCAUUGCUGUGGCUGUGGUGUAGGCUGGCAGAUGCAGCUCCGAUUUGACCGCUAGCCUGGGAACUUCCAUAUGCUGAGGGUGCAGC
rnacentral:lncRNA from 9 species